rnacentral:rRNA from 1 species
AGAGUUUGAUCCUGGCUCAGAUUGAACGCUGGCGGCAUGCCUUACACAUGCAAGUCGAACGGUAACAGGCCGCAAGGUGCUGACGAGUGGCGAACGGGUGAGUAAUGCAUCGGAACGUGCCCMGUYGUGGGGGAUAACGCAGCGAAAGCUGUGCUAAUACCGCAUACGAUCUAUGGAUGAAAGCGGGGGACCGUAAGGCCUCGCGCGAUUGGAGCGGCCGAUGUCAGAUUAGCUAGUUGGUGGGGUAAAGGCCCACCAAGGCGACGAUCUGUAGCUGGUCUGAGAGGACGACCAGCCACACUGGGACUGAGACACGGCCCAGACUCCUACGGGAGGCAGCAGUGGGGAAUAUUGGACAAUGGGCGCAAGCCUGAUCCAGCCAUGCCGCGUGUGUGAAGAAGGCCUUCGGGUUGUAAACUGCUUUUGUACGGAACGAAACGGUCUGGGUUAAUACCUCGGGCUAAUGACGGUACCGUAAGAAUAAGCACCGGCUAACUACGUGCCAGCAGCCGCGGUAA